rnacentral:rRNA from 1 species
GAUGAACGCUGGCGGCGUGCCUAAUACAUGCAAGUCGAGCGAACGGACGAGAAGCUUGCUUCUCUGAUGUUAGCGGCGGACGGGUGAGUAACACGUGGAUAACCUACCUAUAAGACUGGGAUAACUUCGGGAAACCGGAGCUAAUACCGGAUAAUAUUUUGAACCGCAUGGUUCAAAAGUGAAAGACGGUCUUGCUGUCACUUAUAGAUGGAUCCGCGCUGCAUUAGCUAGUUGGUAAGGUAACGGCUUACCAAGGCAACGAUGCAUAGCCGACCUGAGAGGGUGAGCGCCCACACUGGAAUGGAGACACGGCCCGGCCCCCAAGGGGAGGAGGCAGUAGGGAAUCUUCGGAAAGGGGGGAAAGCCUGAGGGACCACCGCCGGGAGGUUGAGGAGGGUCUUCGGAUCGUAAAACUUUUUUAUUGGGGAAAAAAAUAGGUGUAAGUAAGUGUGCACUUUUGGAGGGUACCUAAUAAAAAACCCGCGGCAACCUAGGGC